rnacentral:rRNA from 1 species
GACGAACGCUAGCGGCGUGCCUCAUCCAUGCAAGUCGAACGCAGUGGGGACGGGUGAUUAACACGUGGGUAACCUCCCAUCAGAGGGGAUAACACUUGGAAACAGGUGCUAAUCCGAUACUGAUGGAUGGCCCAGUGGUGCAUUAGCUAGUUGGUGAGGGAACUGCUCACCAAGGCCACGAUGCAUAGCCGCCAUGAGAGGGUGAUCAGUAAAACGGGGACUGAGACACGGCCAAGACGCCUACGGGAGGCAGCAGUAGGGAAUAUUCGGCAAUGGACGAAAGUCUGAACUAGCCACGCCGCGGGAUUGAAGAAGGUUUUAGGAUUGUAAAACUCUGUUGUUAGAGAAGCGGUAUCUAACCAGAAAGCCCCGGCUAACUACGUGCCAGCAGCCGCGGUAAUAC